UGGGGAAUAUUGCACAAUGGACGGAAGUUUGAUGCAGCGACGCCGCGUGGAGGGUGUAGGCCUUCGGGUUGUGAACUCCUUUUUCUCGCGAAAAAGGCACAGUUUUGGCUGUGUUGAUGGUAGUGGGGGAAGAAGCGCCGGCUAACUACGUGCCAGCAGCCGCGGUAAUACGUAGGGCGCGAGCGUUGUCCGGAUUUAUUGGGCGUAAAGAGCGCGUAGGUGGUUCGUCGCGUCUGUCGUGAAAGCCAGCAGCUUAACUGUUGGUCUGCGGUGGGUACGGGCGGGCUUGAGUGCGGUAGGGGUGACUGGAAUUCCUGGUGUAGCGGUGGAAUGCGCAGAUAUCAGGAGGAACACCGAUGGCGAAGGCAGGUCACUGGGCCGUUACUGACACUGAGGAGCGAAAGCGUGGGGAGCGAACAGG
rnacentral:rRNA from 1 species